rnacentral:rRNA from 1 species
UACGGAGGGUGCGAGCGUUGUCCGGAAUCAUUGGGCGUAAAGGGCGCGUAGGCGGCCCGGUAAGUCAAAGGUGAAAUCCCUCGGCUCAACUGAGGAACUGCCUUUGAAACUGUCGGGCUUGAGGCCGGGAGGGGGUAGCGGAAUUCCCAGUGUAGCGGUGAAAUGCGUAGAUACUGGGAGGAACACCAGUGGCGAAGGCGGCUACCUGGACCGGUUCUGACGCUGAUGCGCGAAAGCGUGGGUAGCAAACAGG